rnacentral:rRNA from 1 species
UUAAGCAUAUCAAUAAGCGGAGGAAAAGAAACCAACAGGGAUUGCCCUAGUAACGGCGAGUGAAGCGGCAAAAGCUCAAAUUUGAAAUCUGGCUUCGGCCCGAGUUGUAAUUUGUAGAGGAUGUUUCGGGCACCGCCCCGGCGUAAGUCCCUUGGAACAGGGCGUCAUAGAGGGUGAGAAUCCCGUCUGGCGUCGUGGUAGGGCCCAUGUGAAACUCCUUCGACGAGUCGAGUUGUUUGGGAAUGCAGCUCAAAAUGGGUGGUAAAUUUCAUCUAAAGCUAAAUACUGGCCAGAGACCGAUAGCGCACAAGUAGAGUGAUCGAAAGAUGAAAAGCACUUUGAAAAGAGAGUUAAACAGUAUGUGAAAUUGUUGAAAGGGAAGCGCUUACAACCAGACUUGAGCCCGUCGGUUCCCCCUCGCUUCUGCGUGGGCUACUCCGGCGGGUCCAGGCCAACAUCGGUUCGGGUGGCUGGUCAAAGGCCCCGGGAAUGUACCUCACCUUCGGGUUAGGCUUAUAGCCCGGGGUGUCAUGCGGCCUACCUGGACCGAGGAACGCGCUUCGGCUCGGAUGUUGGCGUAAUGGUUGUCAGCGACCCNUCUUGAAACACGGACCAAGGAGUCGAAGAGCUAUGCGAGUGUUUGGGUGUCAAACCCGUACGCGUAAUGAAAGUGAACGGAGGUAGGAAGCUUCGGCUGCACUAUCGACCGAUCCUGAUGUUCUCGGAUGGAUUUGAGUAAGAGCAUAACUCUCCGGACCCGAAAGAUGGUGAACUAUGCCUGAAUAGGGUGAAGCCAGAGGAAACUCUGGUGGAGGCUCGCAGCGGUUCUGACGUGCAAAUCGAUCGUCAAAUUUGGGUAUAGGGGCGAAAGACUAAUCGAACCAUCUGGUAGCUGGUUCCUGCCGAAGUUUCCCUCAGGAUAGCAGUAACGUUUUCAGUUUUAUGAGGUAAAGCGAAUGAUUAGAGGCCUUGGGGUUGAAACAACCUUAACCUAUUCUCAAACUUUAAAUAUGUAAGAAGUCCUUGUUACUUAGUUGAACGUGGACAUUUGAAUGUAUCGUUACUAGUGGGCCAUUUUUGGUAAGCAGAACUGGCGAUGCGGGAUGAACCGAACGUGAGGUUAAGGUGCCGGACUGCACGCUCAUCAGACACCACAAAAGGUGUCAAUGCAUCUAGACAGCCGGACGGUGGCCAUGGAAGUCGGAAUCCGCUUAGGAGUGUGUAACAACUCACCGGCCGAAUGCAUUGGCCCUGAAAAUGGAUGGCGCUUAAGCGUGCGACCUAUACCUCGCCGUCAGGGUUGACAUGAUGCCCUGACGAGUAGGCAGGCGUGGAGGUUUGUGACGAAGCCUUGGGGGUGACCCCGGGUCGAACAACCUCUAG